rnacentral:rRNA from 1 species
UUUCCGGUUGACCUGCCGGAGGUCAUUGCUAUCGGAGUCCGAUUUAGCCAUGCUAGUCGUGCGAGUUCACACUCGCGGCACCGAGCUCAGUAACACGUGGCCAAACUACCCUACAGAGACGGAUACCCUCGGGAAACUGAGGCUAACCUGUCAUACCGAUCUCAGGCUUGAAUCGCAGAGAUCACUAAAUGCCCCGGCGCUGUAGGAUGUGGCUGCGGUUGAUUAGGUUGACGGUGGGGUAACGGCCCACCGUGCCCAUAAUCAGUACAGGUUGUGAGAGCAAGAACCUGGAGACGGAAUCUGAGACAAGAUUCCGGGCCCUACGGGGCGCAGCAGGCGCGAAACCUUUACACUGCACGCACGUGCGAUAAGGGGACUCCGAGUGCGAGGGCAUAUCGUCCUCGCUUUCGUGUACCGUAGGGUGGUACACCAACAAGGGCUGGGCAAGACCGGUGCCAGCCGCCGCG